UCCAGCACUGAAACCAAUUUAAAUAGAAA
rnacentral:piRNA from 1 species